UACAGAGGCCUCGAGCGUUGCGCGGAAUCACUGGGCUUAAAGGGUGCGUAGGCGGAUACACAAGUGCCUUGUGAAAUCCCCGGGCUCAACCCGGGAACUGCUUGGUAGACUGUGUGUCUUGAGGUCGGUAGGGGUCGCUGGAACAGUUGGUGGAGCGGUGAAAUGCGUAGAUAUCAACUGGAACGCCAAAGGCGAAGGCAAGCGACUGGGCCGAUUCUGACGCUGAGGCACGAAAGCGUGGGGAGCAAACGGGG
rnacentral:rRNA from 1 species